UCAAUACAAUUUGAUUAUAAUAGAAUUACUUUUAUUAGAGUAUAAUGAAUUUAAAUUAAUAAAUCAUUUUUGUGUUAGUGUAUUGGUUAGGGAAUUAAUUAUUUAGGUUAUAUAUGAUUUGUACUGUAAAGGAUAAUUAUUAGGUUGUUAAGUUAAUUUAAAAGUAGAAUUAAUUUUUUGUACCUUUUGUAUCAGGGUUGAUUAAAUGGAUAAUAUCUAUAAUUAUUUAUCUCGAUUUUAUUAGAUCUAAUGUAUUAAGUUGGUUGUUGUAAUAAAAAUAUCAAUAAUAAUAUAUUAGUGAUGAAAUGUUAUUCGUUAAUAAUGGUAUCUAGUUUUCUAGGAAAUAAGUUUAAUUUAUUUCCCUUCUUUAAAGAAUUUUCUUUUUAGACUCUUUUUAGUUAGGAAAAAUAAAUAAGGGGAUAAGCUCUUAUUUAAAUUUUUAUAAGAUAUAUAUAUUAGAAAAAGUGUAAUGGAUUUAAUAUUGAUUAUUAUUAUGAAUAUGUUAUAAUUUUACUUUUAUAAUUUAUUAUUUAUUUUUCUUUAAAAAAAUUUACUGGAAUAUUAUUAAUAAUUGAUUAUAUUUAUCAAAAAUGAUUAAAUUAGUAUAUAAUGUAUUUUUGUUGAUAAAUAGUUUUAAGGAACUAGGCAAAAUUAUUUAUCCGCCUGUUUAACAAAAACAUCUUUUCUUGUAUUAAUAUGAAGUAUGGCCUGCCCAAUGAAUUUUUUUAAUGGCCGCGGUAUUUUGACCGUGCAAAGGUAGCAUAAUCAUUAGUCUUUUUAUUGAGGACUGGAAUGAAUGGUUUGACGAGAUAAAGUCUGUCUUUACUUUAUUUAUUAAAAUUUAAUUUCUGAGUAAAAAAGCUUAGAUUCAAUUAUGGGACGAGAAGACCCUAUAGAGUUUAUAUAAUUGUAUUAUGAUUUCAAAUGGUGUUAAAGUUUAUGAUUAAUACAAUUAUUUGGUUGGGGUGAUUAGAAGAUAGAAGUAACUCUUCUUUAUUAAUAGAUAUUAAUUAGUAGUAUAAUGAUCCACUAAUAGUGAUUAGAAGACUAAAUUACCUUAGGGAUAACAGCGUAAUCUUUUUUGAGAGUUCUAAUUGACAAUAAGGGUUGCGACCUCGAUGUUGGAUUAAGAUGAUUUCUGGGUGUAGAAGCUUGGGAUUAUAGGUCUGUUCGACCUUUAAAUUCUUACAUGAUCUGAGUUCAGACCGGCGUGAGCCAGGUUGGUUUCUAUCUAUUAUAAAUUAAUAUACUUUAGUACGAAAGGACCAAGUAUUAUAAAUAAUUUCUUUAUUUGUGAUUAUUAAUACUAUUUUGACAGAAAAGUGUAGUAGAUUUAGAAUCUAUAAAUGUGGUGUUAAGCUACAAAUAGU
rnacentral:rRNA from 1 species